UCUCAUGUUCAGUCGGUAGAGCACGAGGCUCUUAAUCUCAGGGCCGUGGGUUCAAGCCCCGCAUUGGGCAAAA